rnacentral:lncRNA from 1 species
ACCACCUAGUACUGAGCCCACACCUCAUCUUCCCUUCCUCUCUCUAGCCCAUGCCCUCUCUCUAGGCAUCCUUCCUUGGAGCCAAAAGAGGGGAGGGCGGCAUCAUAGGAGGUGGUGUUAAUUAUUGAUGCCAUUUGCUUUUGGUUUGAUCUCUUCUAUCUCAUGUUUGUUGAGAGUUAGUUACAACUACUUCUUAGUUGUUAAUCUUCUUAGUUAGUUGAGAGAUCAAGAAAGGUUCUUGAUUUCU